rnacentral:rRNA from 1 species
GGAACAGACGAGGAGCUUGCUCCUUUGACAUUAGCGGCGGACGGGUGAGUAACUUGUAGGUAACCUACCUAUAAAACUGGGAUAACUUCGGGAAACCGGAGCUAAUACCGGAUUUAUUUCGAACCGAUGGGUUCGAUUGUGAAAGAUGGCUUUGCUAUCAAUUAUAGAUGGACCUGCGCCGUAUUAGCUAGUUGGUAAGGUAACGGCUUACCAAGGCAACGAUACAUAGCCGACCUGAGAGGGUGAUCGGCCACACUGGAACUGAGACACGGUCCAGACUCCUACGGGAGGCAGCAGUAGGGAAUCUUCCGCAAUGGGCGAAAGCCUGACGGAGCAACGCCGCGUGAGUGAUGAACGUCUUCGGAUCGUAAAACUCUGUUAUUAGGGAAGAACAAACGUGUAAGUAACUGUGCACGUCUUGACGGUGCCUAAUCAGAAAGCCACGGCUAACUACGUGCCAGCAGCCGCGGUAAUACGUAGGUGGCAAGCGUUAUCCGGAAUUAUUGGGCGUAAAGCGCGCGUAGGCAGUUUUUUAAGUAUGAUGUGAAAGCCCACGGCUCAACCGUGGAGGUCAUUGGAAACUGGAAAACUUGAGUGCAGAAGAGGAAAGUGGAAUUCCAUGUGUAGCGGUGAAAUGCGCAGAGAUAUGGAGGAACACCAGUGGCGAACGCGCAUUUUCUGGUCUGUAACUGACGCUGAUGUGCGAAAGCGUGGGGAUCAAACAGGAUUAGAUACCCUGGUAGUCCACGCCGUAAACGAUGAGUGCUAAGUGUUAGGGGGUUUCCGCCCCUUAGUGCUGCAGCUAACGCAUUAAGCACUCCGCCUGGGGAGUACGACCGCAAGGUUGAAACUCAAAGGAAUUGACGGGGACCCGCACAAGCGGUGGAGCAUGUGGUUUAAUUAGAAGCAACGCGAAGAACCUUACCAAAUCUUGACAUCCUUUGACCCUUCUAGAGAUAGAAGUUUCCCCUUCGGGGGACAAAAGAC